rnacentral:rRNA from 1 species
AAACUAAGUUUCCAACGUCUAGCACACAUCGUUUACGGCAUGGACUACGAGGGUAUCUAAUCCUCUUCGCUACCCAUGCUUUCGUUCCUCAGUGUCAGUAAUGAUCCAGAAAGUUGCCUUCGCUUUUGAUGUUCUUUCUAAUAUCUACGAAUUUCACCUCUACACUAGAAAUUCCACUUUCCUCUAUCAUACUCUAGCUAAAAAGUUUUGAUGGCAGUUCCAAGGUUGAGCCUUGGGAUUUCACCAUCAACUUUUUUAACCACCUACGAACUCUUUAAGCCCAGUAAUUCCGAACUACGCUAGGUCCCUUCGUAUUACCGCGGCUGCUGGCACGAAGUUAGCCGGACCUUCUUAUUCGGGUACAGUCAUUUUCUUCCCCGACGAAAGAGUUUUACAACCCAAAGGCCUUCUUCACUCACGCGGCAUCGCUGCAUCAGGGUUUCCCCCAUUGUGCAAGAUUCCCCACUGCUGCCUCCCGUAGGAGUUUGGGCCGUGUCUCAGUCCCAAUGUGGCUGGUCUUCCUCUAAGAACAGCUAUUGAUCGUUGCCUUGGUAAGCUAUUACCUUACCAACUAGCUAAUCAAGUGCGGGCUCAUCUUUUGGCAUUAAAACUUUCCCUGUGAAGGCUUAUCCGGUAUUAGCACAAGUUUCCUCGUGUUAUUCCAGACCAAAAGGCAGAUUCCCACAUUAUACUCACCCGUUUGCCACUCAGUAUUGCUACUGCGUUCGACUUGCAUGUGUUAGGCGUGCCGCCAGCGUACGUUCUGAGCCAGGAUCAAACUCU